rnacentral:tRNA from 1 species
UCUAAGAGAGAACGUCAUGGCACUCAUGCUCAGGCGCUGGUGGCGCCGGCUUCAGCAAUGAAGUUUCAGCAUGGGAUGUUGCCAUGUACCCCUCGAAUCCAUCACCUGAUGGGACCAGAGGGACACCCAUUCGGACCUCUCUUUUCUUCGCUUUCACAGCGAUGGUCAGCAUCGGCUUAGCCGGUGCGCACGUUCAACCCGUCCUCGAAUAAUUUCUUACAGCUACUAGCUUCUAGCUGCUAGCUACUGGCAGCACAGCCGAUGAUCACGUCAAGUCACAAAUCGUUCGUGCUGCUGGCCCGGCGAUGGUCAGGCUAAGUACUAAUUGCUAAUCGCUAAUGGCUACUUCGGGCCUGUAGCUCAGGUGGCUAGAGCGCACCCCUGAUAAGGGUGAGGUCGAUAGUUCGAGUCUAUCCAGGCCCACCAUUAAGUGGGGGCUGUAGCUCAAUUGGGAGAGCGCCUGCUUUGCAAGCAGGAGGUCACCGGUUCGAUCCCGGUCAGCUCCACCAACAUCAUUUCAGCCAUCAGCAAUCGCCACCCGUUUGCGAGUGAUGAAUGCUGAGUGCUGAAAAGCAUUCGAGAGCCGCCUAGGCGGCAGCCGAGCAAUCGGCGCGACGAUAUUUGACAACUGAAUAGAUUGAUAACUACAAAGGCGAGUAUAAGAGUAAAUCUUAUGAGUACCUUAGAAUUUUCUGCUGGUGUGAGCGUCGAUAUGCAAUCGGCGUCUCGCGAUGAGCAGAUCUGGAAGAGGUCAUAAAAUUCUCUCAACACCGUCGUGAGACGGGUGCUUUGAGUAAAUUUUAUGGUCAAGUUACUAAGGGCGCAUGGUGGAUGCCU